UGAAAAUAGUCUACAAAGUUCUUUGUAAACAUUAAUGCAAAACUCAACAGAGUAACCUGAAAUCAAAUGUGUGGCUAAACAAGCAUUUAUUCAUGUUUGAACUGUUUUUUUACAUUUUUGUUUGAGUUAUGAACAUUAUAAAUUGAAGUACAAUU